UCAAAAAUUAAAAAUGAUUCAGAGUUGUGUGGCCGGCUUGGAUCAGUGGGUAGUGCAGGCGCACGUAUACUGAGAGGCUUAUGCCUUGACGCAGAGGUCCAGGGUUCGAGUCCGACCUGUGACGAUUUCCUGCAUGUCUUCCCUUUCUCACCUAGCUGUCCUAUCAAUUAAAAGGUGGAA